rnacentral:rRNA from 1 species
GGGAAACCGGAGCUAAUACCGGAUAGUUCCUUGAACCGCAUGGUUCAAGGAUGAAAGACGGUUUCGGCUGUCACUUACAGAUGGACCCGCGGCGCAUUAGCUAGUUGGUGGGGUAAUGGCUCACCAAGGCGACGAUGCGUAGCCGACCUGAGAGGGUGAUCGGCCACACUGGGAYUGAGACACGGCCCAGACUCCUACGGGAGGCAGCAGUAGGGAAUCUUCCGCAAUGGACGAAAGUCUGACGGAGCAACGCCGCGUGAGUGAUGAAGGUUUUCGGAUCGUAAAGCUCUGUUGUUAGGGAAGAACAAGUGCGAGAGUAACUGCUCGCACCUUGACGGUACCUAACCAGAAAGCCACGGCUAACUACGUGCCAGCAGCCGCGGUAAUACGUAGGUGGCAAGCGUUGUCCGGAAUUAUUGGGCGUAAAGGGCUCGCAGGCGGUUUCUUAAGUCUGAUGUGAAAGCCCCCGGCUCAACCGGGGAGGGUCAUUGGAAACUGGGAAACUUGAGUGCAGAAGAGGAGAGUGGAAUUCCACGUGUAGCGGUGAAAUGCGUAGAGAUGUGGAGGAACACCAGUGGCGAAGGCGACUCUCUGGUCUGUAACUGACGCUGAGGAGCGAAAGCGUGGGGAGCGAACAGGAUUAGAUACCCUGGUAGUCCACGCCGUAAACGAUGAGUGCUAAGUGUUAGGGGGUUUCCGCCCCUUAGUGCUGCAGCUAACGCAUUAAGCACUCCGCCUGGGGAGUACGGUCGCAAGACUGAAACUCAAAGGAAUUGACGGGGGCCCGCACAAGCGGUGGAGCAUGUGGUUUAAUUCGAAGCAACGCGAAGAACCUUACCAGGUCUUGACAUCCUCUGACAACCCUAGAGAUAGGGCUUUCCCUUCGGGGACAGAGUGACAGGUGGUGCAUGGUUGUCGUCAGCUCGUGUCGUGAGAUGUUGGGUUAAGUCCCGCAACGAGCGCAACCCUUGAUCUUAGUUGCCAGCAUUCAGUUGGG